GCGACAGUGGUCCAGCCUGGUCUAAGACACGAGCUUGCCAAGUUCGGAACGCGGGUUCAAAUCCCGCCUGUCGCA
rnacentral:tRNA from 1 species